UACGUAGGUGGCAAGCGUUGUCCGGAUUUACUGGGCGUAAAGAGCGCGCAGGCGGUCGGUUAAGUCGAAUGUGAAAGCCCCCGGCUUAACUGGGGAGGGUCAUUCGAUACUGUUCGACUGGAAGGCAGGAGAGGGAAGCGGAAUUCCCGGUGUAGUGGUGAAAUGCGUAGAUAUCGGGAGGAACACCAGUGGCGAAGGCGGCUUCCUGGCCUGUUCUUGACGCUGAGGCGCGAAAGCUAGGGGAGCAAACGGG
rnacentral:rRNA from 1 species